rnacentral:rRNA from 1 species
UACAGAGGGUGCAAGCGUUAAUCGGAAUUACUGGGCGUAAAGCGCGCGUAGGUGGUUCGUUAAGUUGGAUGUGAAAUCCCCGGGCUCAACCUGGGAACUGCAUUCAAACUGACGAGCUAGAGUAUGGUAGAGGGUGGUGGAAUUUCCUGGUGUAGCGGUGAAAUGCGUAGAUAAUAGGAAGGAACACCAGUGGCGAAGGCGACCACCUGGACUGAUACUGACACUGAGGUGCGAAAGCGUGGGGAGCAAACAGG